CGACAUUUCAGCAGAGACCUGAAGGAAGUGAGGGGUCAUGAAGAUAUCUGGUAAAGAGUUUUUUAGGCAGUGAGAUGAGCAAUUCCAAGGCCCUGAGAGCUGUCAGGACCAGGAGGCAGGCUUGUGUGGCUGGAUCAGAGAGUACGGGAGAGGGAUGGAGAUGAAGUCAGAGAGGUAAUUGGGGGAAGGAGAAGGGGCAGGUUUGGGGAGGAGAUCAAGUAUUUUGGACAUUUGAAAUGUCUCUUAGUCAGCC
rnacentral:lncRNA from 1 species